rnacentral:rRNA from 1 species
GUGAGGAAUAUUGGACAAUGGGCGCAAGCCUGAUCCAGCCAUGCCGCGUGCAGGAAGACACAUCUAUGGUGUGUAAACUGCUUUUGUACGGGAAGAAACACUCCCUCGUGAGGGAGCUUGACGGUACCGUAAGAAUAAGGAUCGGCUAACUCCGUGCCAGCAGCCGCGGUAAUACGGAGGAUCCAAGCGUUAUCCGGAAUCAUUGGGUUUAAAGGGUCCGUAGGCGGUUUAAUAAGUCAGUGGUGAAAGCCCAUCGCUCAACGAUGGAACGGCCAUUGAUACUGUUAGACUUGAAUUACAAGGAAGUAACUAGAAUAUGUAGUGUAGCGGUGAAAUGCUUAGAUAUUACAUGGAAUACCAAUUGCGAAGGCAGGUUACUACUUGUGGAUUGACGCUGAUGGACGAAAGCGUGGGGAGCGAACAGGAUUAGAAACCCCUGUAGUCC